UGAGCUGAUAGGCCGACGAGGUGCGUAGCACCGAGUCGGCUAUCAGCCAUAUACGACGAGAGCGAAUGGUAUAAUUGUUUUUAUAAUAUAGUAUAAUAUAGCCAUUAACUGAAGCAAUAAUUAAUUAUUCACAGUUACAAUGUGUUGACAAUUUGUUCGGCCAAAAACCGCUUGAAAAUUUGAAAUACUUUUGUUUUACAACUCGAAGACGAAGUGAAAGAAAUGGUUUUAGAACCUCUAUAUCUCACA